AACGAACGCUGGCGGCAGGCCUAACACAUGCAAGUCGAGCGAGGACUUCGGUUCUAGCGGCGGACGGGUGAGUAACGCGUGGGAAUGUGCCCUUCUCUACGGAAUAGCCCUGGGAAACUGGGAGUAAUACCGUAUACGCCCUUUUGGGGAAAGAUUUAUCGGAGAAGGAUCAGCCCGCGUUGGAUUAGGUAGUUGGUGGGGUAAUGGCCUACCAAGCCGACGAUCCAUAGCUGGUUUGAGAGGAUGAUCAGCCACACUGGGACUGAGACACGGCCCAGACUCCUACGGGAGGCAGCAGUGGGGAAUCUUAGACAAUGGGGGCAACCCUGAUCUAGCCAUGCCGCGUGAGUGAUGAAGGCCUUAGGGUGGUAAAGCUCUUUCAGCUGGGAAGAUAAUGACGGUACCAGCAGAAGAAGCCCCGGCUAACUCCGU
rnacentral:rRNA from 1 species